CGGUAAUACGGAGGGCGCAAGCGUUAAUCGGAAUUACUGGGCGUAGAGCGCGCGUAGGUGGUUGGAUAAGCGAGAUGUGAAAGCCCGGGGCUUAACCUGGGAACGGCAUUCAGAACUGUCAGUCUAGAGUGUGGUAGAGGGUAGUGGAAUUUCCUGUGUAGCGGUGAAAUGCGUAGAUAUAGGAAGGAACACCAGUGGCGAAGGCGGCUCCCUGGACCAACACUGACACUGAGGUGCGAAAGCGGGGGGAGCAAACAGGAUUAGAUACCCUGGUAGUCCACGCCGUAAACGAUGUCAACUAGCCGUUGGGACUCUUGAAGUCUUAGUGGCGCAGCUAACGCACUAAGUUGACCGCCUGGGGAGUACGGCCGCAAGGUUAAAACUCAAAUGAAUUGACGGGGGCCCGCACAAGCGGUGGAGCAUGUGGUUUAAUUCGACGCAACGCGAAGAACCUUACCUGGCCUUGACACCAGAGAACUUUCCAGAGAUGGAUUGGUGCCUUCGGGAACUCUGACACAGGUGCUGCAUGGCCGUCGUCAGCUCGUGUCGUGAGAUGUUGGGUUAAGUCCCGUAACGAGCGCAACCCCUAUCCCUAGUUGCUAGCAGUUCGGCUGAGAACUCUAGGGAGACUGCCGGUGACAAACCGGAGGAAGGUGGGGAUGACGUCAGGUCAUCAUGGCCCUUACGGCCAGGGCUACACACGUGCUACAAUGGUGCGCACAGAGGGCUGCAAACCCGCGAGGGGGAGCCAAUCUCACAAAACGCAUCGUAGUCCGGAUCGCAGUCUGCAACUCGACUGCGUGAAGUCGGAAUCGCUAGUAAUCGUGAAUCAGAAUGUCACGGUGAAUACGUUCCCGGGCCUUGUACACACCGCCCGUCACACCAUGGGAGUGGAUUGCACCAGAAGU
rnacentral:rRNA from 1 species